rnacentral:rRNA from 1 species
GACGAACGCUGGCGGCGUGCUUAACACAUGCAAGUCGAACGGAAAGGCCCUGCUUUUGUGGGGUGCUCGAGUGGCGAACGGGUGAGUAACACGUGAGUAACCUGCCCUUGACUUUGGGAUAACUUCAGGAAACUUGGGCUAAUACCGGAUAGGAGCUCCUGCUGCAUGGUGGGGGUUGGAAAGUUUCGGCGGUUGGGGAUGGACUCGCGGCUUAUCAGCUUGUUGGUGGGGUAGUGGCUUACCAAGGCUUUGACGGGUAGCCGGCCUGAGAGGGUGACCGGCCACAUUGGGACUGAGAUACGGCCCAGACUCCUAAGGGAGGAAGCAGUGGGGAAUAUUGAACAAUGGGCGGAAGCGUGAUGCAGCAACGCCGCGUGCGGGAUGACGGCCUUAGGGUUGUAAACCGCUUUCGACUGUGACGAAGCGUGAGUGACGGUAAUGGGUAAAGAAGCACCGGCUAACUACGUG